rnacentral:rRNA from 1 species
ACUCAAAUGAAUUGACGGGGACCCGCACAAGCAGAGGAUCAUGCGGUUUAAUUCGAUGAUACGCGGCGAACCUCACCUAGGUUUGACAUUCUGCUGCAAGCCCCUGGAAACAGGGGAAGCUUUCGAAGGUGCAGAACAGGUGCUGCAUGGCUGCCGUCAGCUCGUGCCGUGAGGUGUACCGUUAAGUCGGGUAACGAGCGCAACCCCCGUCCUGUGUUAAAUAUACACAGGGGACUGCCCGUGCAAACGGGAGGAAGGCGGGGACGACGUCAAGUCAGCAUGGCCCUUACGCCUAGGGCGACACGCAUGAUACAAUGGCCGGUACAGAGGGUUGCCAAAUCGCAAGAUGGAGCUAAUCCCAGAAAACCGGUCUCAGUUCGGAUUGUAGGCUGCAACUCGCCUGCAUGAAGUUGGAUUUGCUAGUAAACGCGCAUCAGCCACGGCGCGUUGAAUACGUUCUCGGGUCUUGUACACACCGCCCGU